GUACGUCUUCAGGGCGGGGUGCGAUUCCCCACCGGCGGUAUGCCGCGCAAUGCGGCGAGCCCGCGAGCGCCCGGCGAAAGCCGGGGUCAGCAGAUCUGGUGCGACGCCAGAGCCGACGGUCACAGUCCGGAUGAAAGAAGAUGUGC
rnacentral:ncRNA from 1 species